UUCUCCGGCACUUCCCACAUUCUGAAAAAUGCGGUGCCCACUUAGUCACCGCAUUCUCUAAGCCGUGUUCUUGGCAACGGCAGCUUCUGUUUUUAGAAACGGAGGCAACGCUCUUCACAUAGAGCUUGUAAAUGUGAGAGGACAAGGCAUGGUCUCAUCUGGUGGUUCAAAUCCAUCCCUUGCCUUGCUGUUCAGAGAACCCCCAUUGGGUAUUCUACCAUAGAAACAAACUCCUGAGAGAGAUCCCGUGUUGGUGAUGCGGGUCCAUCACCCAAGUUUCCUGGGAGCCUGGGGCUAAAGGAUCACAAGGCCAAGGCCAUCUUGGCUGACUUCAUGAGACGCUGUCUUCAAAUAAAAAGCAAAUGAAGACAGGCGGUGCAGCCUCCUGGCAUAACGCAUACCCAGCAUACAUGAGGCCUUGGGUCCAGUUCCCGGUACUGGGAGCAGAUGGUGAGGAGAGUAAUAUCGAAGACAUUUAAUGCAAUUUUUAGAUCACCAGUAUGGAUCUGAUGGGACCCUUCUUGCCUGCAGUUGUUCAAUGGGAAUUGGCUUGUGACUGUCUCAGGGAAGGCUUCCUGAUAUGGAGGCGCUGUGCAAUGAACUUGAGAGUCCAUUCUGCAAUUUUAUCAUCAUCCCAGAUAGAAACCAACCUGGAGGGGAUCAGUGCGGUGGACAUCUUGAGAGACUGCCUCUCACAGAGAAGAUUCUUCAUUGACUGAGCCCUUGCAGACAUAAUGUUAUCAUUCCAAACAUACAGAGCUGCCAUCCCCAAGGAGAGAUGCUUUCUAUUUGAGGCUCACCAGCUCUGCAUGCUGAUUUUCGAAGAGAUAAAAAGAGCAUCUGGCCAGCAUAGCACAGACUCGCUUCCCCUCCCUCCUCAUUAUAUGAAGAGUGGAUGAGAUUUUUGCUUCAUUUCUAUUUAUACAAAUAAAGACAGCAGUCUGGGA